CAGCCGCCGCGGUAAAACAGAGGGUGCGAGCGUUAAUCGGAUUUACUGGGCGUAAAGCGUGUGUAGGUUGUUGUUCAAGUCAGUUGUGAAAUCCCUGGGCUCAACCUGGGAACUGCUUCUGAGACUGAACGACUAGAGUACGGUAGAGGGUGGUGGAAUUUCCGGUGUAGCGGUGAAAUGCGUAGAUAUCGGAAGGAACCUCAAUGGCGAAGGCAGCCACCUGGGCCUGUACUGACACUGAGACACGAAAGCGUGGGGAUCAAACAGGAUUAGAUACCCCUGUAGUCCCUGUCUCUUAUAC
rnacentral:rRNA from 1 species